GUGCUUGCUUCGGCAGCACAUAGACUAAAAUUGGAACCAUAUAGAGAAGAUUAGCAUGGCCCUUGGCAAGGAUGACACGCAAAUUCAUGAAGUGUUCCAUAUUCUU
ensembl:snRNA U6 U6 spliceosomal RNA